UAAAACUCGUACCUUUUGCAUCAUGAUCUAGCCAGCAUCCCCAAGCAAAGAGAACUCCAGUUUGACACCCCGAAACCUCCGACGAGCUACCUCAAAGCCGCCUAAAGCAGGGCAAACCCAUCUCUGUGGCAAAAGAGUGGGAAGACUUUCAGGUAGAGGUGAAAAGCCUACCGAGUCAGGUUAUAGCUGGUUGCUCAAAAAAUGAAUAUUAGUUCAGCCCCAUAUAAUACCCCCGCCAAUCAUGUACAAUUUUAGUAGGCAAAGAGUCACCCAUGGGAGUUAGUUAAAGGAGGUACAGCUCCUUCAACAAAGGAUACAACCUUAAAUAGAAGGCUAAGGAAUACAUUUUAUCGAAAGGCUUUUAAAAGUUUCAGUAGGCCUAAAAGCAGCCAUCUUAAUAGAAAGCGUUAAAGCUUAAACCAAAUCAAGCCUAAUAUCCCAUUCAACUAUCCAAUGCCCCUACACAUUACUGAGCCAUUUUAUGCCCGCAUAAAAGAGACCAUGCUAGAACAAGUAAUAAGAAGAAUGAACUUCUCCUCGCACAUGUGUAAAUCGAACCGGACAAACCACCGAUAAUUAACGAACCCAAAAACAGAGGGCCCCACACAACCGCCACCCCAACCAAGAAAACCACGUCCCACCACAAUCGUUACCCCCACACAGGAGUGCACACACCCAAAGGAAAGACCAAAAGGAUAAAAAGGAACUCGGCAAACCAAAACCCCGCCUGUUUACCAAAAACAUCGCCUCCUGCUACCAAC
rnacentral:rRNA from 1 species